CCAGUCAGACGAGCGGCAGGUUUCCGAUGGUGGGUCGGAAUGAAAAGGGAACCGGGUGCAAUUCCCGGACAGACGCGCUACUGUAAGUAACCAUUUGCCAGUGCUGCCCCUUGAUAGGCCAUUGCCCCGCUGCGGGGUGAGAAGGCCGGGCAGCAUGUUACAAGUCAGGAGACCUGCCUGCCGCUCUUUAUGAUG
rnacentral:ncRNA from 1 species